AAAUUUGUUACUUAAUUCAUGUCGGAUUGCGAUUCAGUUUAGCCAACAAAUUAAAUUUGACUCUAAUUGAAAUCAAAUUGGUUCCAAUUAUAAUGCAAUAGACAAAUUGAUAUUCAAUAUGGCUAAAAUUUAAAUUAAAUUGCCUAAAUUGUAGUCCAAAAUCCUAAUUGUAAUUCUCAAAACCCUUCUACCCAAUUGACCCAAAUUAAUACACAACACCAGCCCAACAAUUUCAACAAAACAACAAUUUCAGCCCACAAAAUCAACUGGCCCAAUUUAAAAACACCACUGACCCGGCCCACUCUUUGGUCCCUUUUCUGCCUUAACCCCUCUUCAGCAAUAACAUCCAUUCAACGUACAACAACCACAACAAAAAUCUUGAAACCAGCGUACAAUACGAACAAACAAAGAACCAGCGUACAAUACCCUCUAUAAAUGAGAGCUCACUGUUGAGCUGUGGGAGAGGUUGGGAAAAAUUUCGUUUGGGGAAGCAAAAACAAGAAAAAAAUCUCAGAGAGGGGAAGGGUGAAAAACCAUCUUUGGGCGAAAAAUAAGAAAGUUUUUUUCAUUUUUAGUAUAAUUUUAGAAGCUGUAGAUUGAUCGGAAUCCUCAAAGGACCGAUUUCGGGUGGUGAAGAGAUUCCGAUGACGACUCGAGUCCCACUUUGCUGCUCCGAAAUAGGUAACAUUCUGCUCCAUUUAGUUUCGAAUAUUUCUGUUUCGUCUCGCUAUUCUAUAGUCGUGUUUCGAUGACGUUGUUUGUUGGGAGUAGCUGUAGAGGCCUUAAAGGCCAUAGGAUUGAUUAUGCUCAAAUAAAGUUGUUGUAUUGUGGUAUCCUUUUCUGUGUUGAUUGGCUGCUUGACCCCCCUCUCUUUUAUUGGAGAUUUUAGCUUCACGAUUCUGUAAGAGUGAAGGCAGGAUGUUUGUCGUUGCUUAGAAUUUGUUAACUAAUAUAAAAAAAUGAAAAAUAUGUUUGGUUUUAUUCACCUUUGAUGUUGGUCGAUUUAAACAUUUUUGUUCCCUUUCAUGAAAUGGUUCAAGUGUUAGUAUUCACAUUCUUGAAGAUUUUCACUGAUUCACCUUCUUUAGCUUCGAAAGGGGUUAGAAUCAAGGUAAAAAUCAGUUGUCGUAUUCUUAUUCUUGGGGAUUUUUCAAUGAUUCACCCUUUGGCUUCGAAAGAGACUCGAAAGGGAUUGGAAUCAAGGUUAAAAUCAGUUUUGUAUUCUUAUUCUUGGGGAUUUUUCAUUGAUUCACCCUUUGGGUUCGAAAGAGACUCUAAAGGGUUUGGAAUCAAGGUUAAAAUCAGUUUUGUAUUCUUAUUCUCAGGGAUUUUUCAUUGAUUCACCCUUUGACUUCGAAAGAGACUUGAAAGGGGUUGGAAUCAAGGUUAAAAAUCAAUUUUUGAUCCAUCUUCGCGUGAUUUGAACUUUUUUGUGAAUAAGUUUAAGUAUUAGUAUUCUUAUUCUUGAAAGUUUUCACCGAUUCACCUUUUUAGCUUCAAAAGAGACUUGAAAGAGGUUAGAAUUGAGGUUAAAUUCAGUUUUGCGAAGUGACCCAUCUUUACUUUGAUGUUGGCCGAUUUGCAUUUUCCUUUGUUCCCUUUCUCAAAUUGUUCAAACUCUCAUUCUUGAGAGUUUUUUUCACUGAUGCACCUUUUUUUCCAGUUUCUUUUGUUUUGGAUUAAUUUUCAUUUGAUAAUCAACAUUGCCUGGGCUGUCCAAGUAGAAGUUGACUUUAUAUGUAUUGUUUUUUUAUUUUGCUUGACGGGAUAUACUUUGAACAUUAAGAAUACCUUUCUUGAAGAAAUCCGUUCGGUCAAAACUAAAAGUGGAAUAUCUCUUUUUGUGAAAUCCUUCCUGUUUGUUUUAGGUUCCCUUUUUGAACAUUGUUUUCUAGAUUCAAUCAUGUGUUGUUUUACUCAAGUUUGCAAUUACUUUGCUAAUCUCUUUAUCUUUUUCUUGUUGCAUGAACACUCUGGUUGGAGUCAAAUGGACUUUUUCUUUCUGCAUUUUUUAAUGGGCCAUUGGGGCCCACCAUCUCUAUCACGUCAACUCCGAGACCCACUCCAAAAACUGAUCAUGAGACGUACGAAUGCAAGGGAUUGAAAGAUGAAGAAAUGGGUUAAAGUUCAUCUUCAAAGCGGCAAAGGAGACUUGAAAGUCUCAUUUUUUUAUUUAUUUACUUAUUAUUGUUGCCUUUAUUCUAUCCAUUUAUUCAUUUAUUUAUUUAUUUUCUCAUUGAUAUAUUUGGGCGUCGAAGCUAAAGUUGUAAAUUUAACACAGGGAAAAUGGAUUUUGGGCCAAAAAGGCUCGAAAACAUAGAUUAGGACAGGUGAAAAACGGGUCGAAAGCUCAAUUAGAUUAGGACAGAUUUCGUUGAUUUGGUCCCAAUGUCCUAAGUCUUGUACUUCCUCUCUCUUUCCCCUUUUAUGUGCUUAUUUGCUUUUCAUUUGCUUAGACUUGGUUAAAUCGGUACUAAGUUGUUCAAAUCUAUUUUACACAAAAAAAAUCAAUCAUUUUUUCACAAUUAAUCUUAUUGAAGUUGGUCAAAAGAUAUUUUCAAAUAGUUCGGAUAAUCGUAAGUUACCGAAUGUUUUAGGUGUCUUAAAAUUUUCUAAAACGUUAAUAGGAAUCACCUACUCAAAAUUUUAAAACUUAAAUUAUUUUUCUGUUUUGGAUUGUUUAAAGUAAUUUAUAAAGGUUUUCUUAAUUUUUUUUCAAAUAAAUUAAUUAAGUGGCGACUCUAAAAGUUAAAUUUUCAUGAAACAUUGUUGACUCGAUUUGUGGUUUGAACUUGGUCACCUCUCUCUCUCCCCCUCUCUCUAUAUAUAUAGAUGGACAGAAAAAUAAAUAGAUAGAUAGAUAUCUUAAAAGGUGAGAAAUAAAAGAAAAGAAGGGGCUAAUUUAUUUUUAUCUGAGAGAGAUUAAGAGAUUUCAUUUUAUAUAUCACUUGAUCGAAGUGUACAAUUAAAAUGAAUCUAUAUUUUAAAAUUUUAUCCUAAUUAGCUUAUUUAUAUGAUAAGAAUGUAUCAUCAUGUCUUAUAGCUAAUUUGGAAUUGCUUUUUUCUCAUAAAAGAAAAGAAAAGAAAAGAGAUGUUCGGUAAACUUUCAUAAGUGUCUUUAAAAGCAAGACUCCAGAAAAGUUUUGCUUUAAAAAAAAAAAAAAAAAAAACAGAUGCAGAAGAACAAAAAUAAUUUUUUAUGACAAAAAUAUUUCUAUUAGUUUC